UACAGAGGGUGCAAGCGUUAAUCGGAUUUAUUGGGCGUAAAGAGCGUGUAGGCGGCCAUACAGGUCCGUUGUGAAAACUGGAGGCUUAACCUCCAGACGUCGAUGGAAACCGUAUGGCUAGAGUCCGGAAGAGGAGAGUGGAAUUCCUGGUGUAGCGGUGAAAUGCGCAGAUAUCAGGAAGAACACCCGUGGCGAAGGCGGCUCUCUGGGACGGUACUGACGCUGAGACGCGAAAGCGUGGGGAGCGAACAGG
rnacentral:rRNA from 1 species